rnacentral:rRNA from 1 species
CACGGGGGGAGCAAGCGUUGUUCGGAAUCACUGGGCGUAAAGGGCGUGUAGGCGGUCAAGUAAGUGGGAUGUGAAAUCCCUCGGCUCACCCGAGGACCUGCAUCCCAAACUGCUUGGCUUGAGUAUGGGAGAGGAUGAGGGAAUUCCUGGUGUAGCGGUGAAAUGCGUAGAUAUCAGGAGGAACACCGGUGGCGAAGGCGGAUCUCUGGGCCGAUACUGACGCUGGAGGAGCGAAAGCCGUGGGGAGCGAACAGG